rnacentral:lncRNA from 1 species
AAAUUUUGGUGGGAAACAGCCAUGGAAGAGGGUUUGGAGCUGGUAUUCCAUAUUUUGGCUUCAAGUAAGUUUAAUUCUUGCUUUUUCCUUGAAAUUUUUAUAUUUUUACUUUUACAAUUAGAUCCAACUUAGUAUUCUACUAGUUUCUCAUUUUGUUGAAAGUUUUGGAAGAAACCAAUGAUAAGUUCAUAUGAUUUUUGUUAUUUUAUGAUGAAAUUGAGAUGUUAAUGGAUGUUUAAAGGUGUUUUAUUAAAGAAUUUUGGAUGAAAACAUGUUUUAGGGAUUAAGUUGAAAAGUAUUGAAAUUGUGGAGAAAUUCUGAAAUUUCAUGGAAUCCAUGGGCUGUUAUUGAUAUGUAUGAGAACUAUUAGGGUUGGAUCAAGGAUUAAAUUGCAAGAAUUUCAUUUUCCGAGCCUAAGGAUGAAAUUGUCAUGUGUUAAAAGUUUAAGGUCAAAAUGGUAAUCAAAAUGUUGCACUAAAACAGUUUUGGGCAGCAGCAGUGUGCCAACUUUAAAAAAUCACCAAAAAUCGUGGGAAUCGAAUUAGAAUAUGAGUAAAAUAUGAAAUUAAAGUUUAUCGAGUCUAGUUUCUCAUAGAAGAAACGGUGUAAGUAAUGGAAUUGUAAAUCAUGAGAUAUAAUAAAUUUUGUGAGAUAGAGUCAGAAUAAUUUUGGAAUCCCCUGUUCUGACUUUGGAAAAUCAUUAAAAAUUGUAAAAAAUUAAUUAGGGGUUAAACCUUAUAUUUUUAGAAUCCUAAACGAGUAAAGUUUCAUUAUAAAUAAACGGGAAUACCAUCCGAAUUAUGUACAAUGAGAUAAUCAAUUUUUAGUGAAGAGAGGUCAGAACUGUCGAGCAGUGCAAUAGGGGAAACUUUAAAGAAUAAACUGUACUUAUUGGCUAAACCAAAAAUUCUAAAAAUUUUAUGUUAAGAAGAUAUGUGAGUCUAGUUUCAGGUAAAAUUGACGGAUCUUAAUUUGGAGCUCUGUAGAUCGAGAUAUAAAUAAAUUAGUGACUCUGACUCUGAUAGACAGCUUGAAUUUACAUACAGGAAAAUAGUGAUAGUAUGGAAAAUGUUGCUUAAAUGUAUUAUACACAUUAAGGAUGUGGAAUGGAGAGGAGGAGGAGAAAAAUUAGAGAAUAUAUAAAUUAUUUGUCUAUAAUUGGUCAUAUGUUCGAUUAUAAUUGAUAAACGAUGAAAUAGAAAUUAUACUUAUAUUUGUGCAUUAUUGGUCAUGAUUUAAGCUCAUGGGGAAAAUAAAGUUUUAUAGUAUGUGUGUAUGGUAUAUAUAUAUGUGUGUGUGGUAAUUUAGAUAUAUGGAUGUAUUUUGGUUGUGGAUUGAUCAUGAUGAUAAAGAUUAGGUAUAUUUGGUCUAUUAAGUGACAUAAUUGAGAAGUAUGAUAGGUGGGUCAUUCUAUGUGUGAGAUGAUGGUAUAAUUUGGCUUGGUUAAGUAAGUUAAAAGGAUGAUUACAUCAUUGAGGUUGUACUGAUUAAUCUGGUUUGUGUGAUAGAAAUAUCAAAUACAUUUGUCUUUGAUGCGUGAUAAUUAUUUAAUGCCAUGAGAAUUUGUUUUUUUGGUGAGGUUUAAAAUGUAUCUAUAUUUUGUUAUAUAAUUUGUUUUGUAAUUUAUUUGACAAAUGAUAAAAAUUAACUCAGUUAUUAUGUGAGGUGAAUUAUGAUUUGGGUAGCACAUCUAUAUUAUGCAAUAAUAGAUAAAAUAUAUUUAUGUCAUGUGUGAUUGGUUAAACACUUGGGCUAAUUUAAGGUGUAUACUGAGUAAGGGUAGUUGGUAAUGAAGUAACAUGUUUUGAUUUAACAUCGAAUAGAGAAAAUUUGUUCUAUCUUUGUGGCUAAUAUUGAUAGUUGUAUGGGAGAUGAAUGGAUAAUGUAUAUGUGACACUUAGUUUAUAAGAUAUUGAGUAAUUGAUAUAUUACAAUAGUUAAAUAGGAAAAUGUGACGACAUGAGAAUAUGUAAUGAUACGGAUCAAUUCAGGUACUCGUGAUAAAUUCAAUAAGUAAAUGGAAAUUUUUAAAUUCAUACGACGAGGAAAUGAAAGAUUGUGAGUAUAUUGGGCUAUGUAAACCCUAAUUAGCGAAUCAAGAAUAACAAUUUGAAAGUUUUAGUUUAGAUGAAAUUUUACAACUCGGUUUAAUAUGGUUAAAAGUGUAUAUGUUCUGGUGAUACCUCGUACCCUAUUCUGACAUCGAAUACGGGUAAGGGGUGUUACAACACUGGUAAUUGAAGUCGAUUAAUUGACUUUUUAUUUGUUAUGUUUCAUUAAUUAAGUUUUAUUAACUUUAUCAUGAAACAUCAUAAUUGUUGAAUGGAAAGGUAAAAUUUUUUUGAUUGUAGAACUAGUUUUAGCCUUUAGGGUGUUUUAUUCUAGUUUUUGGGGUUAAUUAAAAUUUAGUUUGAGUUAAAAUAAUUUGGGUUUAUGGUUUAACUUAUAUUAUAUAUUUUACAUAGUGUUAAUAUAUUUAAAAUAAAUAAAUAAAUAUAGAUAAAAACCAAUCAAGUCGAUGAAUUUGAUUAUAACUUUCAUCAUUUUAAUUCAAUCUUAAAUGGAUUUAUUCAAAAUAACUAACAAAUUCGAAUGUGUUAAUUAAGUUGGUUAGGUCAAUUUGGAUAGACUUUUACUCAUCGCAUUGGUGUUCUUUUUAAAGUUAUGUUAAUAUUACAUAUUUAUUGUAUCUCAAUUUAUUUUAGAUUUUACAUACUUUGUCAUGUUCACACUCGUGUUACAUAUCAAUCUUGAUAUAUUUUGAAUAAUUUGUUAAUAUUAUACAAUUUAGAUAAAAUUAAUAUUUUAUUUUCGUGUGAUCAAAGUGUUAUAAAUAUCAACAAAGGUUAGUUGUAAUGGUAGAAUACAUUACAUUCUUAAAGAUAGACAUAUAGUCAAAUAUUAGAGAUAAUGUUGCUGAAAUGAACUAUUUAGACCACAAAUAUGAACCUUAAAACCAACAUGGAAAAUAUAAAAAAAAAUAUUAUAAAUUCACACAAAUUUUUAUAUGUUAAUAAUUUAUUUUAUAUCUUGAAGACAAUCGUUUUAGAUAGAUUUUUAUUUUUAUUUUUGUGUAUUUGUAUUAUGUUUAUAUUGUUUUUCUUAUCAUGUUAUAAUUUAUUUUAUUUUAUUAUAUUAUUUUUAUGUCGUGCAUUUAUAAACUUGAAAAUUGAAUCAUUUUAUAUAUAAUGAGCAUGUUGAAAGAUUAGAUCUAGUUAGAUGAUGAUGAUGGAAUUAUGGAUUAAACAUCGAUUAUGAGUCUGCCUCCUGCUCUAAAUUUGUUGGGCUGUGAAUUAAAGGCCUACCAUCUCAAAACUAGUGAGGACAAGCCCACUAACAAAAUCUGGUUUUCGUAGGCAUUGUGUUUCAGAUAUGUUCAAGGUGUAAUUUAUUAUUUUCCAUAGUAAAAUUAAUUAUAUAAAUUUAAAAAUAUUAAAUAUGGGUUUUUCAUGUCAGCUUCACCGAACUCGAAUGGGUUUUAGAUAAAGAAUAGUUCAAACGUUUUUUGUUUUUAGAAUUUUAAUUAAAAACUAUUUUUGAAAGAUUUUAUAAUAGAGUAUAUCCACAAAUAUAAAUAUAUGCUUAGGACAAAAUUGGAAAGAAAUAAAAUAAAGGCUAUACACAUCAUGUAUACAUAUGAUAAGACUUAUUUGGACAUGAUUGUUCAAGGAAUAAGAACAUUCACCUCAAUCAACAAUGUGAUUAAUUAGAAAUUGUUUUUUAAGGUACGAUUAUAAGUAUUAUGUAUAACUAAUUAUUAGACUCCAUGCACAAAGGUAAUCAACACAUUUCCUGUAAGUACAAUUAAAAUUAAACAAUUACAAGCACAAUAGAUAAAAAUAAUAAUCUAAAUAUAUCUAAAUUUAAAUAAGUUACGUCAUGUAUGUAAUAAAAUUUAAAAUAUGAUAAAAUUUGAACUCAAAUCCUAUAAAUACGUAAAUAUAUAUUAAAACCUCAAACUAAUAAAUUUUUUUUUAUUCUGCUUUGCUCCUUUGAUGGUUGUUUUCAGGUGAUAUGGAUUUUAUUUUGUUGGAAAAAAAACUCGAACCUAUUAAUUUUAAUUCAAUUAAUUAAGUUUGUAAUUUAUAUUGGGAUUGAUUCUCCAAUUUUGGUUUACUAACCAAUUCAAUUGACGGAAUGCUCUCCUAGAUGUCAACAUAAACAGGGAGCUCCAUCUAUGGUGAAAAUCCUUUGAUGGACUUUUCAAGGAUUAUGCAAUUAAAUUCCAUCGAUAACAUUGUGAUAAUUCAAGAUUUUGCUAAUCUUAGUAACUAAGGUGAGAUAUGAUUUUUGAUUGGUUGAUUGUCAUUAUACAUACUUUCCAUCAAUAACUCAAUUUCUUUUUAUAUUAUAUAUGUUUGUUUUAGGGUAAAAUACUAAUAAAAGUUUUUUUUUAAUUACUGAAAUGGGCCAGGUAAAAAAUUAAUUACCGGAAUGGGCUUAUUUCUCCGAAAACGCGUCCACGUCAGCGCGUUGUCAAGUGACAAAGCAGGAAAACGCUUCCUCAAGGAAGCGCUUUUCCCGUGUCUCUGCGUUAGGGUUAGGGUUUUGGGUUUUGGAUUUAGGUUUAGAGUUUUAAAGAAAAAUUAAAUAAAUAAAGGAUUAGGGAUUAGGGUUUCUUAAUUAAAUUAAUUAUAAAAUUUUCAAAAUUAGAUUAGGGUUUUGUGUUUAUGGUUUUCAAGAAAAAAAUUAAUUAAAUUAGGGUUUAGGGUUACUUGAGUAAAUUAAUUAUAAAUUUUUUUAAAAAUCAGAUUAGGGUUUAGUGUAGAGGUGUCCAUGGCGGCCUGGCCCGACGGCCCGUCCGAAAUAUGUGAGGGUUUGGGUAAAAAUAUAGGCCCGAAAUAUGGGUUUGGGCAAAAAAUGAGGCCCAUUUAGAAAAUAGGCCGAGCCUCGGGCACUGUUUUUUAGGCCUGAGCCUGGCCCGGCUCGAAUAUAAUAAAAACAUAUUUUUUAAUUUUUAAUUUUUAAAAUAUUUUUAAAAUACUUUUUUUUAAUUUUUUUAUUUUUAAAAUAAUUUUUUGGUGUUUAUUAAAAAAUGGCCGGGCCGGGCUCGGGCUUAGGAAUUUUUUCCCGGGCCGGGCCUGGACAAAAUUUUAGGCCCAUAUUUUAGGCUCGGUCGAGCCCGGGCCUAGGACGAGGGUCGAAAUUUUUUCUGGGCCCGGCCCGGUCGAUGGACACCUCUAGUUUAGUGUUAAGGGUUUUUAAGGAAAAAUUAAAUAAAUUAGGGUUUAGAGUUACUUGAGUAAAUUAAUUAUAAAUUUUAAAAAAUAGAUUAGGGUUUAAGGUUUAGCAUUUUUAAGGAAAAACUAAAAUAAAUUAGGGUUUAGGGUUACUUAAUUAAAUUAUUUGUUAAUUUAAAAUAAAAGCUCUCAGGCCAUACAAGUAGAUCAUGUCCAAAUUGCAAUAUUUGAACGUUAUUGUAAAAAACUAUAUUGUAUUAUUUAUAUUUUUUAAAUGAAAUAAUAUAGAAAUACUCAAAAUAUUGCCUUAUUUAAAAGAAUUUAUAUUUUAUUAAAAAUAUUAAAGUAUAUUACAAUUACUUUAUUCAAAACAAUGUUUUAUUUUAUUAAAUGAAAUAAUAUAGAAAUAUUCAAAAUAUUGUCUUAUUUAAAAGAAUUUAUAUUUUAUUAAAAUAUAAAAGUAAAUUUCUAUAUUAUUACAUGAAAUAAUAUAAAAGAAUUUCUAUUUUAUUACAUGAAAUAAUAUAAAAAUAUUCAAAAUGUUUGUAUAAAUAUAUUAAAAUAAAAAUCGAUCUCCGUGCUUGCCGGAUUUAG